GCUUUGAAUUCAUGGCCCAGGACUAACGCCAGCAGAUGCUUUACACAUGCAAGUCGAACGGCAGCACGGACUUCGGUCUGGUGUGGCGAGUGGCGAACGGGUGAGUAAUGUACCUGAACGCCCAGGUAGGCAGAUAACUACGCGAAAGCGUAGCUAAUACCGCAUACGCCCUUCGGGGGAAAGCGGGGACCUUCGGGCCUCGCACUAUUAGAGCGGCCGAUAUCGGAUUAGCUAGUUGGUGGGGUAACGGCUCACCAAGGCGACGAUCCGUAGCUGGUUUGAGAGGACGACCAGCCACACUGGGACCGAGACACGGCCCAGACUUUAGCGGAGGCAGCAGUGGGGAAUUCUUGACAAUGGGGAAACCCUGAUCCAGCCAUCCGCAGCACAAAAGGCUCCCGGGUUGUAAAGCACUUUGGCAGGAAAGAACGGCACGGAUAAUACCCCGCGUAACCGACGGUACCUGCAGAAUAAGCACCGGCUAACCAUGCCAGCAGCCGCGGUAGCCGGGCGUAGGUGCAAGCGUUAAUCGGAAUUACUACGGGGCAGCGGCAGCGUGUUCGGAAAAAGAAAGAUGUGAAAUCCCGGAGCCAAUUUUGGAACCGUUUUUGCAAUCACUGAGCGAGAUGUGCCAGAGGGAGGGAAUCAUGUGGCGGCGGUGGUGCUGGGAGUUAUGGAGGAACACUGAUGGCGAAGGCAGCCUCCUGGGAUAACACUGACGUUUCGUGCACGAAAGCGUGGGGAGCAAACAGGAUUAGAUACCCUGGUGUCCACGCCCUAAACGAUGUCAACUAGCUGUUGGGGCCUUCGGGCUCGGUAGCGCAGCUUAACGCGGUGAAGUUGGACCGCCUGGGGAGUACGGUCGCAAGAUUAAAACCGAAGAUAAUUGACGGGGAACGCACGCUGUGUGGACGAUGUGAUUUGGCACCCGAGCGUGCCCGCGAAAACCUUAGCUCACCUUUGACGUCUGGAAUCCCGAAGAGAUUUAUCGUGAGAAAUCCGGAACACAGGUGCUGUGAGCGGAAGCCGUCGCUCACCUGCAAGCCGGAGAUGUUGUUAAGUCCCUGCAACGAGCAAAGAACCUCGGUCAGCGAGUUACGCGAGCGCAGCACCAAUUAGAUUUGCCGGUAAACCCGAUAAAGCGUGGAAGAACAGUCGCCCGCGGCCUGGUGGUGGGGCCAUCAGCGCAAUGUCGGGACAGAGGGUCGCCAACCCGCGAGGGGGAGCUAAUCCCAGAAACCCGAUCGUAGUCCGGAUCGCAGUCUGCAACUCGACUGCGUGAAGUCGGGAACGCCGGGGAACGAUCGUGUUAAUGUCACGGUGAAUACGUUCCUGGUCUUGUACACACCGCCCGUCACACCAUGGGAGUGGGUUUUACUCAGAAGAAGUUAGCCUAACCGUAAGGAGGGCGAUUACCACGGUAGGAUUCAUGACUGGGGAAGUCGUAAAUAAGGUAA
rnacentral:rRNA from 1 species